UUGGAUGUGGCGUAACGGACGCGGCCAGAUUCUCUUGCAGCGAUUUUGUGCAUAAACCCGGCAGUCCGGGGUUCGAUUCCCCGCGUCCGAA